rnacentral:rRNA from 1 species
GGUCCAGACUCCUACGGGAGGCAGCAGUGGGGAAUAUUGCACAAUGGGGGGAACCCUGAUGCAGCGACGCCGCGUGAGUGAAGAAGUAUCUCGGUACGUAAAGCUCUAUCAGCAGGGAAGAAAAUGACGGUACCUGAGUAAGAAGCCCCGGCUAACUACGUGCCAGCAGCCGCGGUAAUACGUAGGGGGCAAGCGUUAUCCGGAUUUACUGGGUGUAAAGGGAGCGUAGACGGCAGUGCAAGUCUGAAGUGAAAGCCCCGGGCUUAACCCGGGAAUUGCUUUGGAAACUGUACGGCUGGAGUGCUGGAGAGGUAAGCGGAAUUCCUAGUGUAGCGGUGAAAUGCGUAGAUAUUAGGAGGAACACCAGUGGCGAAGGCGGCUUACUGGACAGUAACUGACGUUGAGGCUCGAAAGCGUGGGGAGCAAACAGGAUUAGAUACCCUUGUAAUA